GCUCUCCUUGAUUCUUGGAUAUUUAUAUUUCAMCCAUUCCAUGUAAAAUUUCUUUUACGAAAUCUUACUUGUCAUUUCACGUCACUACCUCCUCAUACUGAGAUUGGGUAAUUUUCGCGCCUGCUGCGCCCCGUGGGGCGGGGGCGGCGGGACGGGCGCGGGGCGCGGCGGGCG
rnacentral:rRNA from 1 species